UACAGAGGUCUCAAGCGUUGUUCGGAUUCAUUGGGCGUAAAGGGUGCGUAGGCGGCGCGGUAAGUCGGGUGUGAAAUCUCGGAGCUUAACUCCGAAACUGCAUUCGAUACUGCCGUGCUUGAGGACUGGAGAGGAGACUGGAAUUUACGGUGUAGCGGUGAAAUGCGUAGAUAUCGUAAGGAAGACCAGUGGCGAAGGCGGGUCUCGUGGACAGUUCCUGACGCUGAGGCACGAAGGCCAGGGGAGCAAACGGGG
rnacentral:rRNA from 1 species